GAUGAACGCUGGCGGUAUGCUUAACACAUGCAAGUCGAACGGACUCUUCGGAGUUAGUGGCGGACGGGUGAGUAACGCGUGAGAAUCUGGCUUUGGGUUCGGGACAACCACUGGAAACGGUGGCUAAUACCGGAUGUGCCGAGAGGUAAAAGAGAAAUUGCCUGAAGAUGAGCUCGCGUCUGAUUAGCUAGUUGGUGAGGUAAAGGCUCACCAAGGCAGCGAUCAGUAGCUGGUCUGAGAGGAUGACCAGCCACACUGGGACUGAGACACGGCCCAGACUGCGAGGGGGGGGAGUGGGGGGGAAGUAGAGGGAGUGGGGGAAAGGCAGAGGGGGGAAUGCGUGUAGAGGGGAGAGGGUUCGUGGGUGAAAAACCUUUGGUUGUAGAGAAAAAAAAAAGGGGGGUACAUAAGGAAGCAGCAGCGGCGAAUACGGGGGAGGGGUCCGAAGUACUGAGCGAAGAGCAAGCGACGGAAC
rnacentral:rRNA from 1 species